AUUGAACGCUGGCGGAAUGCUUUACACAUGCAAGUCGAACGGCAGCACGGACUUCGGUCUGGUGGCGAGUGGCGAACGGGUGAGUAAUGUAUCGGAACGUGCCCAGUCGUGGGGAUAACGUAGUGAAAAUUACGCUAAUACCGCAUACGAUCUAUGGAUGAAAGCGGGGGAUCGCAAGACCUCGCGCGAUUGGAGCGGCCGCUAUCAGAUUAGGUAGUUGGUGGGGUAAAGGCCCACCAAGCCAACGAUCUGUAGCUGGUCUGAGAGGACGACCAGCCACACUGGAACUGAGACACGGUCCAGACUCCUACGGGAGGCAGCAGUGGGGAAUUUUGGACAAUGGGCGAAAGCCUGAUCCAGCCAUUCCGCGUGCAGGAUGAAGGCCCUCGGGUUGUAAACUGCUUUUGUACAGAACGAAAAGGUUUCUACUAAUACUAGGAGCUCAUGACGGUACUGUAAGAAUAAGCACCGGCUAACUACGUGCCAGCAGCCGCCGCCG
rnacentral:rRNA from 1 species